GACGAACGCUGGCGGCGUGCUUAACACAUGCAAGUCGAACGGAAAGGCCCUUCGGGGUACUCGAGUGGCGAACGGGUGAGUAACACGUGGGUGAUCUGCCCUGCACUUUGGGAUAAGCCUGGGAAACUGGGUCUAAUACCGAAUAGGACCACGCGCUUCAUGGUGUGUGGUGGAAAGCUUUUGCGGUGUGGGAUGGGCCCGCGGCCUAUCAGCUUGUUGGUGGGGUAAUGGCCUACCAAGGCGACGACGGGUAGCCGGCCUGAGAGGGUGACCGGCCACACUGGGACUGAGAUACGGCCCAGAGUGCUACGGGAGGCAGCAGUGGGGAAUAUUGCACAAUGGGCGCAAGCCUGAUGCAGCGACGCCGCGUGAGGGAUGACGGCCUUCGGGUUGUAAACCUCUUUCAAUAGGGACGAAGCGCAAGUGACGGUACCUAUAGAAGAAGCACCGGCCAACUACGUG
rnacentral:rRNA from 1 species